GAUCCUGGCUCAGAUUGAACGCUGGCGGCAGGCCUAACACAUGCAAGUCGAACGGUAACAGGAAACAGCUUGCUGUUUCGCUGACGAGUGGCGGACGGGUGAGUAAUGUCUGGGAAACUGCCUGAUGGAGGGGGAUAACUACUGGAAACGGUAGCUAAUACCGCAUAACGUCGCAAGACCAAAGAGGGGGACCUUCGGGCCUCUUGCCAUUCGGAUGUGCCCAGAUGGGAUUAGCGUAGUAGGUGGGGUAACGG
rnacentral:rRNA from 1 species